UACGGGGGGGGCAAGCGUUGUUCGGAGUUACUGGGCGUAAAGGGUGUGUAGGCGGUUCUUUAAGUUUGGUGUGAAAUCUCCCGGCUCAACUGGGAGGGUGCGCCGAAUACUGAGGGACUAGAGUACGGGAGAGGAAAGUGGAAUUCCUGGUGUAGCGGUGAAAUGCGUAGAUAUCAGGAGGAACACCGGUGGUGUAGACGGCUUUCUGGACCGUAACUGACGCUGAGACACGAAAGCGUGGGUAGCAAACAGG
rnacentral:rRNA from 1 species